rnacentral:rRNA from 1 species
AGCGAACGCUGGCGGCAGGCCUAACACAUGCAAGUCGAACGGAUCCUUCGGGAUUAGUGGCGGACGGGUGAGUAACACGUGGGAACGUGCCCUUUGGUUCGGAACAACUCAGGGAAACUUGAGCUAAUACCGGAUGUGCCCUUCGGGGGAAAGAUUUAUCGCCAUUGGAGCGGCCCGCGUCUGAUUAGCUAGUUGGUGAGGUAAAGGCUCACCAAGGCGACGAUCAGUAGCUGGUCUGAGAGGAUGAUCAGCCACAUUGGGACUGAGACACGGCCCAAACUCCUACGGGAGGCAGCAGUGGGGAAUCUUGCGCAAUGGGCGAAAGCCUGACGCAGCCAUGCCGCGUGAAUGAUGAAGGUCUUAGGAUUGUAAAAUUCUUUCACCGGGGACGAUAAUGACGGUACCCGGAGAAGAAGCCCCGGCUAACUUCGUGCCAGCCGCCGCAGUGA